rnacentral:miRNA from 1 species
UGUGUGUGUGUGUGUGUGUG